UACGGAGGGUGCAAGCGUUAUCCGGAUUUACUGGGUUUAAAGGGUGCGUAGGUGGAUAAUUAAGUCAGUGGUGAAAUCUUCAGGCUUAACCUGGAAACUGCCAUUGAUACUAUUUAUCUUGAAUACUUUGGAGGUAAGCGGAAUAUGUCAUGUAGCGGUGAAAUGCUUAGAUAUGACAUAGAACACCAAUUGCGAAGGCAGCUUACUACACAGUAAUUGACGCUGAGGCACGAAAGCGUGGGGAGCAAACAGG
rnacentral:rRNA from 1 species